AGCAGCGUGGCUCAAUGGAGAGCCCGGGCUUGGGAGUCAGAGGUCAUGGGUUCUAAUCCCAGCUCUGCCA
rnacentral:tRNA from 1 species